rnacentral:tmRNA from 1 species
GGGGACGUAUUCUGGUUUCGACGGGAUUCAGUUCUUUCAGAUAAGCAGGCUGCAGCGCCUGGCUGCAUAAAAACGGGCAAUUAAACAUAAACGCAAACGAAAACGUUGCAGUAGCCGCUUAACGCGACUUGUCCGAUUCUUUGUUUACUGACUUGGCAAAGACGGGCAUCAAACCAAAGUCAGGAAACAUCUCCUCUGCUGUUCCGAGGAGGAUGAUGGUACUUCCGGGACUACCGUUCCCUCUCCAGCCGUAAAGGUGCAGGGAGCGGGAAAUACCAUAUUUACUGCUAAGCUUGUAGAAAGUCUGGGAGAAGGUUUUUCGGACAGGGGUUCGAUUCCCCUCGUCUCCACCA